GCUUGGCCAUGGGGCGGCUCCCGCUCUUUCCUGGCAGUUCGGGUAGCAGCCAGUUCCUCUUCGGGCUCGAUGUUUCGCGACGGCGGCGAUGCUCAAGCGCUUGGAGCUCGGGCAGUUGCUGCCGCCGCCGCUGCUGCUGCUGCUGCUGCGGCCGCUUGCGUGCCUGAGCGCUCCGCCUCCACGGUCCCCGCACUUGGUGCUGGUGCUGGCCGACGAUCUGGGCUGGAACGACGUGGGCUGGCAUGGCUCCGAGAUCCGCACCCCGAACCUGGACGCGCUGGGGGCCGGCGGCGUGCGCCUGGAGAACUACUAUACGCAGCCCUUGUGCACCCCGUCGCGGAGCCAGCUGCUCACUGGCCGGUACCAGAUCCAUACAGGUUUACAGCAUGAAAUAAUUUGGCCGUGUCAACCCAGCUGUGUCCCACUGGAUGAAAAACUCCUGCCUGAGCUGCUUAAAGAAGCAGGCUAUGUUACUCACAUGGUGGGGAAGUGGCAUCUAGGAAUGUACAGAAAGGAAUGCCUGCCAACCCGCAGGGGGUUUGAUACUUAUUUUGGUUACCUUCUUGGAAGUGAAGAUUACUAUUCUCAUGAGCGCUGCGUGCACAUUAUAUCCAAGAAUGUAACCCGUUGUGCCCUUGAUCUUCGAGAGGGAGAAGAAAUUGCAGAUGGAUUUAAAAACAUGUACUCUGCUAAUAUAUUUACAAAAAGAGCUCUGGAUCUUAUAGCAAAUCACGAAAAAGAAAAGCCUCUCUUUCUCUAUCUUGCUCUGCAAUCUGUCCAUGACCCUCUUCAAGUACCUGAGAAAUACACAGAACCAUAUUAUUUUAUCAAAGAUGAAAAGAGGCGUAAAUAUGCGGGAAUGGUAUCUAUUAUGGAUGAAGCUGUAGGAAAUAUCACUAUGGCCCUGGAGCGGCAUGGACUCUGGGACAACACUAUUCUCAUAUUUUCAACAGACAAUGGAGGCCAAACUAUGGCAGGUGGAAAUAACUGGCCAUUAAGAGGAAGAAAGUGGACAUUGUGGGAAGGUGGAAUUAGAGGUGCUGGAUUUGUUGCAAGCCCUUUACUGAAGCAGAAGGGAGUGGAAAGUCAUGCCCUCAUCCACAUUUCUGACUGGCUGCCAACUCUGGUGAAGCUUGCUGGAGGAAGUACAAAUGGCACCAAGCCUUUAGAUGGCUUUGAUUUAUGGGAAACACUCAGUGAAGGAAAACCAUCACCCAGAAAGGAGCUGCUUCAUAACAUAGACCCAAUUUUCGUGGAUCCAUCACCAUGUGAUCCUGACUACCACCAGCUGUGCUGGCAGGAGCUGAUGAAACACAAAAGGUCUUGAGGUCACCAGGUUGGGGAAGCUUGUCCUGAUGGAAUUAAUUCCAGAAGUGGGACACUACAACACUGUGCUCCUCAUUCCAAGAGAGGGGGCUCAGAGAUUGGGCAGCAUCAAGAUGGCUUGUGGAGGAAAUCAAGAGAGCAUGAAGAAAAACAGGAUUAGAUUUAUAUGUGAAAGAUAUUAUUCUGGUACUACAAAGAAAUUCCUUGGCUGAGCACAAGCUCACUGGCACCUUGUUCUGCCAUGUUAUGUCUGCCAGACAUUUUGUACCUGGCCCUGGCUGGUGAACCCUGGGUUCCAGUGAAAAAGAAGGUAGAUCCUGCGAGGCUAAGCCUGCACACCCCUGCAUAUGUUGAGUAAACUACUGCCUGGGUCAGAUUUAAAGUUUGCUAUACAGAUUUGUUGCUGCAGAUGUUCCCAGGUGUUUCAGUGCUAGCUUCUCAAAAUACAUUUUAACUGAAAGGGUAGGCAUUGUAAAUGAGAGAGAGAUGCAGCUAAAACAGCACCUUGCCCACACGUUACAUGGCCACAGUGUAUAAUCUCAGUGCUUAUAAAAAGACAGAGACUUGUGCACACUGUUUCUGUAAUUAUUUAUUUUACAACAGUAUACAAUUAUCCGUGAGACAUAAUGUAGACAAGGACUGCAAAGAGUGCAGUCUACAGGCCACAUGUUGCCUGACAAAUGAUUUCUGGCAGCUUGCCAGAUCAGCCUCUCUGCCAGGGAGGCAGCAUGGUCUGGAGUUUCUCCUGCCGGCACUAGCAGGAGAAUCCCUUUCCUAUCCCUGCAUCUACAUUUGUGCAUCUGUAUUGUCUGGCACCUCCCAGUGUCAUCCUUGGGGUCAAAAUGUUUGUGCACUUCUAACAGAGAUAAUUGCAAAUUUACAUUUGGACAGCCAUUUGGUUGAAAAGGGAUUCCAGUAACAUAUUAGAAACCAAAGCAGGAUGCCGUCCAUUCUGGAGACACAUUGAAAGGACCAGGAGCAUCUUGCAACACAAAAGUACUGAUGCAGUAAUGUUUUGCCAAACAGUCAUAUACACACUGAGGUUUACUGGGGCUUAUGUUCUCUUUCUGUUACAGCCUGAGCCAAACCAUUUUUCAAAAGUUUAAAAAAUAUCUUUGUGGGUUCUGCUGUGACAGAGAUCUGGAGGAAAUAAGCCCUGCUAAACAUAUGCUAUAAUUUUUGCAUAAAUUAGCCCACCAGAGACUCAACACGUUGCUACACUGAACAGAAACCAAUGUCUAGACACUGAAGUGCUUUAAAAAUAUUUUAGUGAUCAUCUACAUUUGCAGAUUCUCUUGCCUUUCUGUUUAAUCUUUUCAUACAACAUUUCCUUAAGAAUUAAAGAAAACCUACUGUUCCCUAAUGAAUAUGUCACUUGAAUGCUCUUAUAGAGGGAUAAAAUCAUAUAAUAGGUAGAUAUAUGUUUCAAAUUAAGUGCACUUAAGUGCACUGGGGAAAAUGGCAAAAUGUAUGUAGCACACAUAUUUGUUAAACUUUGCAUCGUUCCUUUAAAAAAACUACCAGGUCUCCGAAGUUAUUGAUGGCUUGGCAGCUGGGAGGGUGACGUCAGCUCUUCCAUUGUGAAGGAUCUGCUUUCUUUUAGAUAGUCUUAUGGCAUUUCAUCAAGUUUCAGUGAUUCAGCUGAAUUAAAAACCAACUGGCUCUGAGUCAAAAUUUCCUUAACUCCUAAACCAAACAUGUUCCUGACCACACAGCCAUUACUAGAUGGCCUGUCGCAUAGCAGUGCUGCAACUCUGUAUUCUAUUAGAGGCAGUUUUAUUUUUCAAGAUCUGAACAGAAUGACAUCAUGAAAGUAGCUCAACCCAAGUUGAAACUGAAGAUUGUUAAUCAGAAUCUGUCAAUAUACUUCUUUUUUUGGCAUUUUAAUUCAUGAAUUAAAGAGGUGUUAAACAUUAAUCUUAUCGAUCUGAAAAGACAAAUUGGAGGUUUUUAUUAAAGGCUUCCCAGAGGUGAUUCAAGAGAGCAACAUUGAUAUAGAGUUAUUUCUGGGUAAGGGACUUCCACUACCAUUCACAAUUGUAUGCAUUGUGUACAUGCAAAAUCAGAAAUAGAGUGACCCAUGUGUCUAUGUAUUAUAGUAAAUUUAAUUUAAACACAAUUGGACUUAAAGGCAAAGAUGCAAGACACAGAAAUUAAGAAGCAUGAUAAAUUGAGUCCAUUACUUAAUCAGAACUAAUUUAAUAAAAAUGUGUUAGUACCCUCAAUAUCUAUAAGGCCAUUACUUCAGGCAUUGUGCUAAAAACUACCCAAAUAAAUAUCUGCAUGCAAAUAAAACUAUUAUGACAUACACAGUUCUGCAGUUUUGGAAAGGAUGCAUCGUGGCUGCAGUUUUGUGCCCAGUUAUUGAUGUUGCAUUCCACUGAGUAGCAGAUCCAUGACUGGGUAUAGGAUUGCUGCAACUGGCCCCCAUCCAGCCCUGUCAUUAAUUCAAAAUAGCUCCCUAUAUACAUGGAAACAGAUGGAUGCAUGUUCAGUGUUAAAAUCCCCCAUGGAAGGUACAAAUAAGAAUGAGGCAACAAUCCUUAGCUGCACAGACUCAACACACUGCUUGGCUUACAGUUCAGUUGAGCCAGCAAUGACAGGAUGUGUGAACUGACUUGUUUGAUCCAUUAGGGAGUUGGAAUAUCUGUGCUGUGAAACUUAGCAGCAAAUACAUAGUGUUUCCUUGUGAUAACAAUGGCUUGUGAAGUAUACUGUAUCACAAAGUACUAUAUUCCAGUCCUGCUCAUGCACCAUCACUUCAGCAGCCUCUGUUGCCAUCUGUGAUUGCAUUUUUGCAAUUACUACUGCAAGCUGUAGAGAUGGUCACCAGCUAGGAAAAAAAAUUCACAAAGAAUAGCUCAGCUCAGCUCAUUUUCUGACCUCUUUCACAUGCAUUUCUAUUGAGAUGUGGACAUUCUGGUCUAGUGAACAUUCUGCAUAGUUCCACAAAAUUAUACAGACUGCCUGUGAUUUCAUUUUGUAUACCUGCUCAACA